AGUGUGAAUACAUUAGGUCUGUGAGAGAUCGUGCUACCUGGCAGGGGUUAGAGCUGGGCAGAGGACUGCAGAGGAGCAGGCUGCACCAUGCGACACUACCGGACCCUGCAGUAAUGACCCUGCCAGCCUGACACAACGCUCCCACCUGGGGGACCACUGCAGCUUUCCAAUGACAGAUGGAGGGCUGCUGAGACAGGGGAGCUGGGCUGGAUCACUGCAGGCUAACAGAGCGACCAUUAGACCAGACAGUGCGCCAGCAAGCCAACAUGGCUUUGUGUUGGCUCCGCCUUUUGCCUGGAAUGUAUACCUACCUGAAUCCUGGACCUUCCUAUUUGUCUGUAUCCUGUCACUAGUCCCCCUGCUACCUACCAUCACUUGCCUAGAGACAGAACAGUGGAUAGAGUCGGAAAUCAGGGCGAGAGAGUGGGGAAUGACGUGCGGGUAAGGAGUCAGGGGUCGGAUCCGAACCCGGGCACCCAGGAUCCGAACACAACUCUUUAU